AUUUACCCCUGCAGAAUCGGUUUUGUUCAAUUACGCGGAAGCACUUUGGUUCCCUGCCCGUAGUUCGGACAUUUGUGGGGUUUUCAACGUUCUUCUUCGUUGUUCCAGUCUUCCAGAGAGAUGAGAGAAGAGAGUUUGGCUCCGAAAUUGGAGGAUGCAAAGAAGUAUCUCGAGGUGACGCAGGACGAGUCAGAGGCCGUGUCGCGACUCGUUUUUCCAAGCGACAGGAGUAUAUACGAUCAUUUCGUUGAGUCAGGCAUCCGAGUCGACCGAGUCCAACCCGGAUUCGUCGUCUGCACUUUCAAAGUCCCUCCCCGCCUCACCGUGAGUCUUCCCACCGCUCACCCACUUUUCCUCGAUAGAGCUGGAAAUCUGGCUAAUGGUGCAAUUGCAACCCUUGUUGAUAUGGUUGGUGCCUCUACUGUUUUUGUUCCACAUAUCCCUAUGAACGUUUCAGUGGAUAUGUCCAUCUCGUACAUGGCAAAUGCAAAGCUUAAUGAUGAGUUAGAGAUCACCUCAAAACGGUUAGGACAAAGAGGACGUUAUUCUGGAACCUAUGUACUUCUAAGAAACAAAGCAUCUGGGGAGAUUAUUGCUGAAGGUCGACAUUCGUUGUUUCGUUCAUCUUCCAGCAAACUCUGAGUCCUUUCCACAUAUACAAGUAUAAACGGCGAGGAAGUGUUAAAUUUCACUACAUGGUGCAUGGAAGUAAAAGGCUGCUUCUAUGAAUGAAAUUUUCAUAUCACACACUACUGUUAUAGGUUCAGGGAAGUUCUGAUGGAGAAGGCGAAGAGGUCUCUGGGGCUGAACUCGGACGCGUCAGAGACCGUGUCGUGAGUCGCCAUCCCUGCUCUCCAAAUCGGAAAGUCCAGCUUCUACAAUUUCUUCGCUGUAAGAGGUAUCCGAGUCGACCGAGUCGACCCCGGUCUCGUCGUUUGCACUUUCAAGGUCCCUCCCCGCCUUAUCGUCAUUCAACUAAUCUAUAUGUUUCGCUUUUGUUAUUUAAAUAUUUGUUGAAUUUAAUUAUUAAUUAACUUGGAUUUUUUUAAUUUUAUUUAUCGAUUAAAUUAGUAGAUUGUUUAAGGUUUUUAUAGUACUUCAGGAAAUUUCAGAUGUAGACUCUAAGCCUAACUAGUUUUACUUUCAUGAAAAGCAUUAUCCUAUGGCUA